rnacentral:sRNA from 1 species
GCUGGGCAUGGUGGCUCAUGCCUGUAAUUCCAGCAACUCAGGAGGCGGAGGUAGGAGGAUCACAAGUUCAAGGCCAGCCUCAGCAACUCAGUGAGACCCUGAGCAAUGUAGUGAGAACCAGUAGCUA